UUUAUUUUAUUUUUCCCUGUAGUUCAACUCUCUCACUUCCUCACCCUCAUUGAACUUCCCCCACCUUCACCCUCACCCUCAGAAUUUGUUACGCUCCGGCUCCGUCACCCUCAAUGUCCAAAUAUUGGAUUAGUAUUUCAACUCCAGUGUCACUUGUUAAAAUUCUGUUGCAAACCCAUGACCUUCAUCACGAUAACGCACAGAAACCGUUACACCGCCACAAGUCUAACACCAUGGGAAUUGGUAAACACAACCUCUAAAAUGCCUUUUCCCUCAUACAUCCUUUGUUCAGCGGGAUUUUCUGUAAAGGGAAAAGGAAGCAUGAGAUUGAGCUAUGAGAGACUGAAGAAUCUCAUUCUCACGAGUCCUCCACCAUGGUUUUCAUAUGAUUCUCGUAUCUAGGUUUACCGCACAAUCUUUCAUGCUCAUAUUCCUCUAUGGUUUUAACAAGGGUGGUGUUACUCUACAUGGAUGGCGGAGUUGUUUCCUUAUCUCUCGCCUUUCAGAAUUUGAACCAACUACUAUUUUCUGAGCGACUCACAACACUUAUAUGAGGUGAUUCUCUUGUGUUUUUGGAAACGCCAUGCUGAUUAAUUAGCUAAACAACGAUUUAUCUUCUUGUAUAGUUGUGUGUUUUCUUGUUGAAUGAGGUUUACCUUCUUAUAAAGUUCCACACUUUCCUGGUGGAUUAUAUUCCCUUGUAUUUGGAGAAAUGAAAACACAGAUUUAAGUGAGUAUUGUGAAGUUUUUGAGAGGAAAGUACGUGAAAGGUCACUGCUGAGAUGUUCUCCUGCCAAAUUUGAUUAAAAAGGUUUUAUUCACACCAAUGGAGAAAACAUUGGUAUAAGAUGACUUGGGUUUGCAUUUAUUGUUCUUCAUAAGUCUGAAAAAAAGAGAGCCAGUGAUUCCUGAAUGAUUUUUAGAAUGGAAAGAAACUAUAGAUUCACGGGGAUACUUCAUUGUAGCCAGACACGAAACUUCACAGUAGCAGCUGAAUGCACCAUGUAGUUUUCUAUUGGCUGCGAUUAGCAAACUACACCAUCAGUUAGUGUGCAUAAAUAUAUGUGCAUAAGUAUUGAUAUGGUUGUAUAUGUGCACCUUAAGAAGAGGAAAACAAUUAUUUGAUAAUAUUAUAUUUAGCCUAUUAUGUUUAUUCAUUCAAAAGCUUCUCUAUUUUAAAUAAACAUGUCAUAUAACUUUUUUUGUCACUACAUAGAAACUUUUGUACUGGUAGUAGUCAAUUAGUUUAAUGACAUGGAAUGUGAUAUUACAAAAUCUUAUUUGUAGAUGCAAUGCAAAUUA